rnacentral:lncRNA from 1 species
GAGAUGCUCCAGGCCCUUCACCAUCUUUGUGGCCCUCCGCUGGACUCUUUGCAAGAGAUCCCUGUCUUUUUUGUACUGGGGAGCCCAGAACUGGACACAGUACUCCAGAUGAGGCCUUACCAGGGCAGAGUAGAGGGGGAGGAUCACCUCCCUCGACCUGCUGGACACGCUCUUCUUAAUGCACCCCAGAAUGCCAUUGGCCUUUUUGGCCACGAGGGCACACUGCUGGCUCAUGGCCAACCUGUCAUCCACCAGGAUGCCCAGGUCCCUCUCUGCAGAGCUCCUCUCCAGCAGCUCAUCCCCCAGCCUGUAUUGGUGCAUGCAAUUAUUCCUCCCUAGGUGUAAGACCCUACACUUGCUUGUGUUGAACCUCAUCCGGUUUCUUAUUGCCCAGCUCUCCUGGCUCAUGGCCAACCUGUCUCGCUGAAUGGCAGCACAGCCUUCAGGCGUGUCAGCCAACCCUCCCAACUUCAUAUCAUCAGCAAACUUGCUGAGGGUGGCCACUAUCUGCUCGUCAAGGUCAUUGAUGAUGUUGAACAAGACCGGACCCAGCACAGUGGGACUCCACAAAAGUCCUGGUUCUUUUCUUCAAAUGAAGAAAACUAAUGCCUGCUGGACAAUUUGAGGAGCUGCCUCUGGCCAUUUGUUGUUAGUUACUUCACUCCUGGUCAGGCUAUAGCCAUCUCCAACAUCUGUAACCCAAUGAAUGCAUGGGCAAUCAUGCAACCAAGACUAAGUGCAAGUGAGAUAUUUAUGUCCAAAUCAGGAAGUGAUUUUAGUCCAUUUUUAAUGUCAAUACACGAUCAGAUCCAAUCAAAAGAAAAUGCUUGAUUUAACCUCUGGUUUUACAUGAUUUACGGAUACUGAGCUCUUGUCUGUGAUGUGACCAUUUACAGAGACACUAGCAAUGUCCAGCCAAACAAUAUUCUAGAUGAAAUGCAGCAUUGUUGCUUUCACGUUCACUUAUGGAAGGUUUUGAUCUUCCCAACCAGAGAGAGAUGACUGCCAGCAAGUCGUCAACUCCCUUUUCUCAGAAAGAGUUUGAAGCCCUGGCACUGCUGGAACACCUACAAGUGCAGCUUAUAGAAACAGAAAUCCGUGCUCAGAAUGCAGAGCAGAGAUCUGAAGAUUUUGAGAAGAAGCUGGAAGAAGCCCUAGAGAGAAUCCAGGAGCUAGAGAGUGAGCUGGAGAAAAGGGGCAAAGUUGUCCCAGAACCAACACCUAAAGAAGGGCAAGAAAAAUGUUUACAAGAAAGCUUGCCUGAAGGGGAAGCCUGCUCAACUCCCAAAACUUCCACCUCUGGCCAGCCCAAGCAAUACCAGAAAAAGCAAAAAAUAAAAAAUAACAAUACCUGA